rnacentral:rRNA from 1 species
GGAUUGCCCCAGUAGCGGCGAGUGAAGCGGCAAGAGCUCAGAUUUGAAAUCGUGCUAAUUUUUUUGGCACGAGUUGUAGAGUGUAGGCGGGAGUCUUUGUGGAGCACGGUGUCCAAGUCCCUUGGAACAGGGCGCCUGAGAGGGUGAGAGCCCCGUGGGGUGUCGUGCGAAGCUUUGAGGCCCUGCUGACGAGUCGAGUUGUUUGGGAAUGCAGCUCCAAGUGGGUGGUAAAUUCCAUCUAAGGCUAAAUACUGGCGAGAGACCGAUAGCGAACAAGUACUGUGAAGGAAAGAUGAAAAGCACUUUGAAAAGAGAGUGAAACAGCACGUGAAAUUGUUGAAAGGGAAGGGUAUUGGGCCCGACAUGGGGAGUGCGCACCGCUGUCUCUUGUAGGCGGCGCUCUGGGCGCUCUCUGGGCCAGCAUCGGUUCUUGCUGCGGGAGAAUGGGUGCCGGAAAGUGGCUCUUCGGAGUGUUAUAGCCGGCGCCAGAUACCGCGUGC